rnacentral:lncRNA from 1 species
UGUCAACUUCUGAGAGUCAGGGCGGUUUGUUAAAUGGCCUGAUUGAAGCAAGAGCUGACUAAUGUACCACUGGAGACUUUGAAUCAAAGGAAUAAUCUGAAUUAAAUUUUUAAAAGAUCACUCUUACAGCUGUUUAGAGAGUGGAAGGAAGAAAGACAAGAGAGGAAACAGAUCAGUCUGGAAGCCACUGCAAAAUCCCUGUGAAAGAUGGUGAUGGCCUAGACCAGGGUAGGAAUGAUGGAGUUGACAGGAUUUGGUGAGGAAUGAGAUGUGAGGCAUGAGAUAAAGAAAGAAGUAUUAUAACAAUUUUAUUACAGCAAUUUUAUCAUCCAGCUUGUAAUUUUAUCCAUCCCACCAGCCAAGCCUAUGUUUCUAAGCAUAAAAAUCAGCAUAUAAAGAGUGUUUUUGUCGACUGCCAUAUAGCCAGGGACACAGUUACUAUAGCAGCCGAGCAAUUCUCUUUGGGUAGCCAGGUGGAAACCAAAUCGUCUUGACGAAUACCAGAGCUGAACAGGGAAAUUUUCUCCAAUACCGCAUGACAAACUUCAUAAUUGCCUUUUUUAACAAGAAUAUCUAAAUCAGGAUGCUAUGGCUUGGUACAUAAUUACAUUUUUCUGAAACCAACUCUGGUUUUCCAUUUUGCAGUUUGUAGUUUAUAGUGAGGGUUUUAUGGAUAUUGCUCUUCCACUAGACUUACUCUGUCACAUGUGAGGACAUCUCCUUCCUCAGCUGAGUGGGUGCUGGUCCUUGGAUUCCAGUGAUGGCUGAGGCCAAUGUACACUCCUCAUACUGAGCUAGGCAUUUUGUCUCAAAUCUAUACCUUCUCUCCCAACCUAUGAAACUAUCAGAUAAUCCUGGAACUUUAAGGCCCACCUGGCCUCCCUCUUGCCACUCUUCCUUCAAGCUUAAUUUGAAAGAGAGAUGAGAGUGAAAGAGAGAUAUUCACUCUCUUUCCCAUAUAGGUAACUCACUAAAACCAAAAUUUUCUACUGGAACAAAGUAUACCCAGCUCAGGAACUCUUGUGCAUUGUUGGUGGGAAUGUAAAUUGAUACAGCCAUUGUGGAAAGCAGUAUGGAAUUUCCAUAAAAAAUUAAAAGUAGAACUAUCAUAUGAUUCAGCAAUCCCACUUCUGAAUAUAUAUCCAAAGGAAAUGAAAUCAGUAUCUCAAAGAGAUACCUGCACUCCCACAUUCUUUGCAGCAUUAUUCACAACAGCCAAGAUAUGGAAUCAACCUAAGUGUCUAUACAUGGAUGAAUGGAUAAAGAAAAUGUGGUGUAUGGAAUACUAUUCAGCCUUUAAAACGAAAGAAAUCUUGCCAUUUGGGACAACAUGGAUGAAACUGGACGGCAUUAUGCUAAGUGAAACAAGUCAGAUACAGAAAGACAAAUACUGCAUGAUCUUACUUAUAUGUGGAAUCUAAAAAAGUCAAACUCAUAGAAGCAGAAUGCUGGAUGCCAGGGGCUGGGGAAUAGGGGAAACAGGGAGAUGUUGGUCAGAGCAUACAAGGUUUCAGUUAUGCAGGGUGGAAAAGUUCUGGAGAUCUAAUGUAUGGCAUAGUGAUUAUAGUUAAUAACACUGUAUUGUAUACUGAAAUUUGCUAAGAGAGUAGACCUUAAAUGUUCUCACCACAAAAAAUGAUAACUAUGUAAGGUGAUGGAUACGUAGCUCCAUUGUGGUAAUCAUUUCACAAUUUAUACCUAUAUCAAAACAACACAUUGUAUACCAUAAAUAUCUACAAUUUUUAUUUGUCAAUUAUAUCCCAAUAAAGCUGGGGAAAAUAAGUGCGCCAAGCUCAAAGCCAUUAGUCAGAUAACAAAUGAAGAAAGUCAGCCUCCAGGACUCUUACAGGAAUAACCCCCUCACUUCUCCCAUAAAAGCUUUAGUGUACAACUGCCAUGAUCUAGGUGACACAUUACCUUAUAGUGCACCCCACCCACAAUCUGCAUAUAUACAGAACCAUCUUUGUGCCUCUAUGUCUAUUGGGUCCACAAUGGUCCUUGAUAGGCAUCUGUGUUCCUCCUCUCUGAGAGAUCCAAAUGAGAGGGGACAAGCAGGUCCCAACACUGUGAUGAACUCAUUAUUACUAUUUUUGAUAUUCACCAUACAGCUUUGUCAACUUUUUAAAAUGCCUAAUGUCCACCUGCCAGCCAGGGAGGGAGCUGGUCUGGUAAACCAUAAUGAAGAACUAGCCUCUAAAGCUCAUGGCAUUGAUGUGAAAAAUCAUUGCAAACAUUCAUUAAACUCAUUAAAGUCCUAAGAAACUCAAGAGUACUCAAAAUAAAUUGCAUUUGGCACAAAGAUUUUAAGUAGAAAUUGCAUAGGAAAAGAGUUUGGAAUUGCUUGCAAUCCGUAGGAGGGCUAUAUUUCCUGAAUUUUAAGAAGAAAUCUCACAAAUGUUCAAGAGAGAUUUAUUGUCUGUGGUUUCUAUGCAGCUGGUAAGGGAUAGGUAAAUAAGAUGUCUUACUGGUGAGAAAGCUGUUACUUGUUUUCAUAUUCUUGCUAACUAUGAACACGCUAUCACAGUACAGUUAAAUCCACAUUUGGAGACACUAAGCAGGCACAAAACCUGCAUGAUGCAAUCACACUCCUCAGGGAGGUGAUUCUGCUUCUCGCUACAUCCCUCACGAUUCUCUUUUCCUUCCUGUUCAGGGAAACAUGUACCACUUAGCCUCUCCCACUUCAUCAGAGGGUAGGUGGCCCUAAAUGUUUUGUCUACAACUGCAAGAAUCCAGAUAAACAAAAGGACUAAUGUCACAGGUUUUCAAAACAGCCUAAUACUCUCUGGAAACAAUAUCAUUAAGACAGCCCUUCAAGGAUCCAUUGUUGCUGGAUCUCAGAUAGGAGAGAAGAGAGAAAUUCUCCAACAUCUUUUGAGAAAUUCAAACUAUAUUUGUCUAAUGCUCUCUUGAGAUAAACAUUUAAGGAGCCAGGAAAUGUAAAGUUCUACUAUCAUUUGCCAUAGGACUUUAAGUUCCAUUCUUGACCUCUGCGUAUCCACUGCUUCCAUGGUGAUCAGUUGUGUGUGUUUCUGUUUCUCCUCCUUGAGGGGGUCAGAGUGAAGGAGGGACAAGGAGGUGCCAACACCCUGUCCACUUAAUUUUUCUGUUGAUUCUCACCAUGUAGCAUUGAGUACACUAGGCCUAGAGAGUAUAGAAGGAGAUAAAGGCUUAUAUUUUAGAAAAUAAAAGAUAAGAAAUGCUUCGCAAAUUUGCUUAAACACUCAAAAUCAACAGAUUUUUGGAAAAACGUUUUAAAACAUACAAAAUACAUACCUGACUUCUAACUCUGCCUCUUACACAUUUCUCCCAGUGUGUCCCUCAGCACCUCUGUCUUGACAUGUUCAAAACCAAACCUUGUAUUUUUUUCUCCAUGAACAAAGCCUUCCUUCUAAGUUCCCUUACUCAGCAUUUAUUUCACUAGGCCAAUCCCAGCAUUGUCCUGUACUCCUCUCUCUCCCCUCUACUUCAUCCAAUCACUCAAUAAGUCAUAGAAAUCCUGCCUGUAAUAAUCUCUCAAAUUUGCUCAUUCUUUUCAUUUCCACCAUCACUGCUAGACCUUUAUCUUCUCUCAUUUGGAUUAUAGAGAACCUCCUGAAUAGACUCGCUGCCACCUGUCUUUCAUUUUCCACCAAUCCAUCUAGCACAGCUGCCAGAAUUACUUGCUGAAACACUUAUCUGACAAUGCCAUUCGUUGACUUAAAAACUGACUUGUUGCCUAUAAGAUAAACUCAAAGUCAUUUCAACAACCAUUUUUUUAGUAUCUACUAUUAUAAGCCAUGUAGUCUAUUAAGGACAAUGAACACAAAGAUGAAAAAGCAUGGACUCUUAAGGUGCCCACAGUGGACUUCCAGGAGAGUCAGACAUAUCGAUAGCUAUUUACAAUGCAAUGCAAUAUGUGCAACCACAAAAUUGUGCACUAGGUACAGAAGCAGCAUGCGGGGGGGGCGGCGAGUGGUCACUUAUUUUAGGGGCUUCAGAAUGGAAAGAUAUCUGAGCUUGGGAUGGGUAUGCCAAGUAAAUGAAAUGGCAUAUUCAAAGCACAUAAGAAUAAAGCAGCAUGCCAGGACCUGCUAGUUGCAAUUAUUUUCAUCUAUGGGAAUGUUGAUAUCAAGAACUAAGGCAGAGAACACUGGAAUAUGAAUAGUUCUUGGGUGUGUUGGGGGGAUGGUGAUAAUGGUGUGGCAGGAGGGCAGCAAGUGGUCAAGACACAAGAACAGUGGAUGAGGGUGGAGCUGUUUAGGUUGAAAUUUCCAAGUGCAGGUCUCAGUUGAGGGGAGAGUUGGGGCCAGAAAUAAAAAUAUAGUCAUUAAAACCAUGGAAAUAGGCUAAGUUGUCUAGAGAAACGACACAAUGUCAGAAGACAUUUGGAGGACUCAGAGUAUAACCCACUCAAGAAAAUUAAGAUGAGACCUUCAAAAGUAAGAAGGGGCUUCCCUGAUGGAGCAGUGGUUAACAGAAUCCACCUGCCAAUGCAGGAGACACGGGUUCAAGCACUGGUCCGGGAAGAUUCCCACAUGCCGGGGAGCAACUAAGCCCAUGCUCCACAACUACUGAAGCCCACGCGCCUAGAGUCCGUGCUCCGCAAUAAGAAAAGCCACCGCCAUGAGAAGCCUGCACACCACAACAAAGAGCAGCCCCCGCUCGCCACAACUAGAGAGAGCCCGUGCAGAGCAACGAAGACACAACGUAGCC